UACGUAGGGUGCAAGCGUUGUCCGGAAUUAUUGGGCGUAAAGAGCUCGUAGGCGGUCUGUCGCGUCGGCUGUGAAAACCCGAGGCUCAACCUCGGGUCUGCAGUCGAUACGGGCAAACUAGAGUACUGCAGGGGAGACUGGAAUUCCUGGUGUAGCGGUGAAAUGCGCAGAUAUCAGGAGGAACACCGGUGGCGAAGGCGGGUCUCUGGGCAGUAACUGACGCUGAGGAGCGAAAGCGUGGGGAGCGAACAGG
rnacentral:rRNA from 1 species